rnacentral:tRNA from 1 species
GAGGGUAUAGCUCAAAUGGUACAGUGUGUGCUUAGCAUGCAAGAGGUCCUGGGUUCAAUGCCCAGUACCGCCU